rnacentral:lncRNA from 1 species
UGCGAGAACUCUGUCACGUGUAUCUCGUUGGAUAUUGAGAUACUAAAGUCGUCAAGUGGAAACUGAGAGUAAAUUUCACGGAAAUACGUAGAAUGCUGUAAUAAUAUAGUCAUCAAGGAUUAGUUUAAAUAACGCAGAAUCAAAUAGGAGAGUCUGCAGAGAGGAUGUUGCGGCCAACAAGGAAAAUAAAACAGCGACUUUAUCGCUAUCAACGUGUGCAGAAGCGAGCAAAGAUAUCAUCCGCAUCUGAAAGUAUAAGAAUCACAGAGAGAAGAGAUACGCGAGGAAGAGAUCACGAUAAGAUGGGGACGACGCCACGAGCGGUCGAAUCCGCCGCCCGCGACCGCGUGGAAACGAUAUAAUAUAUAUCUCACGACGGACGAGAGAGAGAGAGAGAGAUCGUUGCCACGAUCUCCUCUACUGGAAGGAUAUAGCAGCGACGGGGGUGAAAAUCGUGCCACGUGGCCCGCGGGUACUCCAGGAAGAACAAGGGGGAGAACUCGGACUAGCAUUACUGGCCCCGGCCAUGGCGAACGUGAGUUACCUUUACUGCAUUUGCUAUUCUGCCAUUGUGCACGGUUACGAUACGGGACCGUGCAGGGGAAGCUGCUGCGAGAGAGAUCGCGUGAGUCAUACUGAGGCGAGCGAAGCUCCAUUGGCAUUGGCGUAGAACGUCUUCCCUGGACAAGGGCGUCUUGUCUUUCAUGGCGCAUCACGGCUAUUUUACACGCCUUCUUAUCAUCAAAUCGAAAUUUCCCCGAAACCGUUCUCAACGUUCUUCAGCAGAGCGAAACCUUAUUGCCAUCCUGAAGCUAUUUCGCUAAUUACAACGAUAUUAGUCAAUCUGGUGUAUUUGAUUGCUCUUAAUAACUUUCGUUUUUUUUUUUUUUUUUUUUUUUAUUAUUAUUAAGGCAAUCGUUGUUUUAUUAUUUACGCGAAUUUCUCUCGUGUAGCGGUAACAAUCUAAUUAUUUAAGAAUGGAAAACUACAAACAAUAUAUUAAAAAAUGAUAUAUAUGGAAUUGCUUCGUCACGAUUAGUGCACGUAUCGCAGAAAAAAAUGAUGCCUUCUGUAGUAGCAUGUUUUCACAAAGAUAACGCCGCUGAUUGAUCACCGAGACAGAAAAGACGCGCUAUUUGCUUUGGCUCACCGAGUACGCAGUUAUUGAUAAACGAGGUAUAGUAAUUCGAGUGACGAAUGUAUAAUGAAAACGGUAAGAAAAAUGCAAACUUAAAAAGACAUUGUUUCAAGAAACAUUUCAAGAAAGUAAAAUAUAAUUUAAAUCUCUCCUUUAUCCAUAUAUGUUAUAACUGUAUGACCUAAAAUGUAUGGAUCUUUUAUUGAAUAAAAAUUCUUGAAAUUUAGUUGGAAAAUGGGAGAAUUCACUUUUAAUGUUUCCAUCAUGUUUCCGUUGAAAAUUUAUAUAUUCAUUCUGCAAUAGUUUUAAUGAAAGUAAUAUUUCUUCACUAUAUAAAGCAAAGCUUUUACAAAAAGAGGAGUAAUAGCGAAAUGUCAAAGUAAAUUUGGGUGAAAUUAUUCCGGCAAGAGAAUAUGAGAAAACUAACUGAACUGAAUAUUCAGGGAAUUCGAGAAAGUAGUUCAGGAGGUCAAUCGAUCAGUUCUAGAUUAGUCUGAAAAAUUGUAGAGAAUCUUUUUAAAUGGUCGGAGUUAUAGCAAACACGAAAUCGUCGUUGAAGAGAAAAGAAUUUGUCGCCGACACGUGGAAUACCUACGUCACUGCGCUCGGUCAAUGCAUCAAUCCGGCCUGCAUCUGUAUGUAUUUACGCUUGCCGGAGAGGAGGGUAAGGGGGGAAGGGAUGGACAAGGGGAAACCCCUAUGUGACAUCAUCCCCCACGCGAGCGAGCGCCCGCUUCGUUUCGCUGGCUGACUUCUGUCGCCUAACUCCAAAACACCCCUGGACCCUGCCACCUCCCUUUACCUUUAAUCUUUAUCAAUCCAUCCAGCCGAGUCGCCGAAUCGAACGCA